UGCCAGCAGCCGCGGUAAUGCGGAGGGUGCAAGCGUUGUUCGGAAUUAUUGGGCGUAAAGCGCGUGUAGGCGGUUCGUUAAGUCUGAUGUGAAAUCCCAGGGCUCAACCCUGGAACUGCCUUUAAAACUCCCAGUCUUGAGUUCGAGAGAGGUGAGUGGAAUUCCGAGUGUAGAGGUGAAAUUCGUAGAUAUUCGGAGGAACACCAGUGGCGAAGGCGGCUCACUGGCUCGAUACUGACGCUGAGGUACGAAAGUGUGGGGAGCAAACAGGAUUAGAUA
rnacentral:rRNA from 1 species